GACGUAGGGGGCCAGCGUUGCUCGGAAUUACUGGGUGUAAAGGGUUCGUAGGCGGUGUGGCAAGUCGGGUGUGAAAUCUCUGGGCUCAACCCAGAGUCUGCUUCCGAAACUGCUGUGCUUGAGUGUGGGAGAGGCGCGUGGAAUUGCAGGUGUAGCGGUGAAAUGCGUAGAUAUCUGCAGGAACACCCGUGGCGAAAGCGGCGCGCUGGACCACAACUGACGCUGAGGAACGAAAGCUAGGGGAGCAAACAGG
rnacentral:rRNA from 1 species